CCGCGGUAAUACGGAGGGUGCAAGCGUUAUCCGGAAUCACUGGGUUUAAAGGGUGCGUAGGCGGCUUAGUAAGUCAGUGGUGAAAGGCUGUGGCUUAACCAUGGAAUUGCCAUUGAUACUGCAGAGCUUGAAUGAGGUUGAGGUUGGCGGAAUGUGACAUGUAGCGGUGAAAUGCUUAGAUAUGUCAUGGAACACCGAUUGCGAAGGCAGCUGACUGGACCUAUAUUGACGCUGAGGCACGAAAGCGUGG
rnacentral:rRNA from 1 species